AAACUUGCGCAGAGGAAAUACCGUAACUAAUGAGGUUAAUCUGAGGUGUGAUGAUUGCUAGUUGGAAAACUUAAAAAACCUGUUUUCUAUUAACGUUUAUGAAACUAAGGUAUUUGUUUUUACUCUUGGAA
rfam:Danaus plexippus plexippus isolate F-2 unplaced genomic scaffold DPSCF300088, whole genome shotgun sequence.